GAUGAACGCUGGCGGCGUGCCUAAUACAUGCAAGUAGAACGCUGAAGGAGGAGCUUGCUCUUCUGGAUGAGUUGCGAACGGGUGAGUAACGCGUAGGUAACCUGCCUGGUAGCGGGGGAUAACUAUUGGAAACGAUAGCUAAUACCGCAUGACAACAGUUAUUGCAUGAUAACUGUUUAAAAGGGGCAACUGCUCCACUACCAGAUGGUGGUGCGUUGUAUUAGUUAGUUGGUGAGGUAAUGGCUCACCAAAGCGACGAUACAUAGCCGACCCGAGAGGGGUAACCGCCACACUUGGAAUUAGACACGGCCCAGAAUCCUACCGGAAGCAACAGUAGGGAAACUUCGGCAAAUGACGGAAGUCUGAACGAGCAACGCCGCGGGAAUUAAGAAAGGUUUCGGAUCCUAAAACUCUUUUUUAAAAGAAGAACGAAUUUGAUAAUUAAAAGUUCACACUGUGACGGUACCUUAACAGAAAGCGACGGCUAACUACGUG
rnacentral:rRNA from 1 species